UACGUAGGUGGCAAGCGUUGUCCGGAUUUACUGGGCGUAAAGGGCGUGCAGGCGGUCUGUUUAGUCUAGGGUGAAAGCUCCCGGCUCAACUGGGAGAGGUCCUUGGAUACUGGCAGACUUGAGGGAGGUAGAGGAGAGUGGAAUUCCCGGUGUAGUGGUGAUAUGCGUAGAUAUCGGAAGGAACAUCAGUGGCGAAAGCGGCUUCCUGGACCAGCACCGACGUUCAGGCACGAAAGCGUGGGGAGCAAACAGG
rnacentral:rRNA from 1 species